rnacentral:rRNA from 1 species
GAUGAACGCUAGCUACAGGCUUAACACAUGCAAGUCGAGGGGCAGCACUAGGUAGCAAUACUGAGGUGGCGACCGGCGCACGGGUGCGUAACGCGUAUCCAACUUUCCCGUUACUCAGGGAUAGCCUUCCGAAAGGGAGAUUAAUACCUGAUGGUGUUUGAAGUUCGCAUGUUCUUCAAACUAAAGAUUUAUCGGUAACGGAUAGGGAUGCGUGACAUUAGAUAGUAGGCGGGGUAACGGCCCACCUAGUCUACGAUGUCUAGGGGUUCUGAGAGGAAGGUCCCCCACACUGGAACUGAGAUACGGUCCAGACUCCUACGGGAGGCAGCAGUGGGGAAUAUUGGGCAAUGGGCGCAAGCCUGACCCAGCGACGCCGCGUGAGGGAAGAAGGUCUUCGGAUUGUAAACCUCUUUCAGCAGGGAAGAAUACUGACGGUACCUGCAGAAGAAGUCACGGCUAACUACGUG